rnacentral:lncRNA from 1 species
GGCAGGGGCCACAAGGUAAGGAAUGUAGGCAGCUUCUAGAACCCAUGAAAGGAUAGAGAAUGGAUUGUCCCCUAGAGCCUCGAGAAUGAAUGCGUCCUUGCCUAGAUCUUGAUGAUAGCCCAGGGAAACCCAUUCCAGAUUUCUGAACUUCAGAACUGUCAAACUGUUCUCACUGGAUCAAGAACUGUGUUAUCUGAAUUGAUUUGCAAAUUCUGUGGUCCUUCAAGACCUAAAAUCCAGAAAAAGGCGUUUGUUCCAAUCACUUUGGAAAAACAGUUCCAGAAUCGUCCCCAGCCCCGGCUGGCACAGCAGCAUCCUCAUUUGUAUGCUGCAGCUUUGUCUAGCAGAAGACAUUCUGCAGCGCCAUUCCUGACUGCUCUCCACCGCGAGUUUUCCAGUGGGAUGGAGCUCCCUCCCGUGUCCUGCAGUGCUUGAUAACACACCCGCAUUGGCUUCUUUCACUUCCCUGUCUCACUCCCCAACUCAGCUCCCAGUGUCUCCUGGGAUCGCCUCUCAAAUAAAUUAUUUAUACUCA